rfam:Ixodes scapularis strain Wikel colony gcontig_1108379150962, whole genome shotgun sequence.
GCAGUCGUGGCCGGGUGGUUAAGGCGAUGGACUUGAAAUCCUUUGGGGUCUCCCCGCACAUGUUCGAAUCCUGUUGACUGCG